UACAGAGGGUGCAAGCGUUGUUCGGAAUUAUUGGGCGUAAAGCGCGUGUAGGCGGCUUUGCAAGUCGGGUGUGAAAGCCCUCAGCUCAACUGAGGAAGUGCGCCCGAAACUGCAGAGCUUGAGUGCCGGAGAGGGUGGCGGAAUUCCCCAAGUAGAGGUGAAAUUCGUAGAUAUGGGGAGGAACACCAGUGGCGAAGGCGGUCGUGCUGGGCAGUUGCUGACACUGAGGCGGCGACAGCGUGGGGAGCAAACAGG
rnacentral:rRNA from 1 species